GGGCCGGUAGCGCAGAGGCAGGCGCACUUCCAUGGCAUGGAGGACACGCCGGUUCGAAUCCGGCCCGGCCCACCA
rnacentral:tRNA from 1 species